rnacentral:rRNA from 1 species
CCUACGGGAGGCAGCAGUGGGGAAUAUUGCACAAUGGGGGAAAGCCUGAUGCAGCAACGCCGCGUGAGUGAAGAAGGCCUUCGGGUUGUAAAGCUCUAUCAGCAGGGAAGAAAAUGACGGCACCUGUGGAGGAAGCCACGGCCAACUACGUGACAGGAGCCGCGGUAAUACGUAGGUGGCCAGCGUAUUACGGAUUUACGGGGCGUAAAGGGAGCGUAGGCGGGCGGUGAAGUGCGGAGGGAAAGCCGCGGGUUCAACCCCCGUUCUGCUGUUGAAACUGUAAGGCUGGAGUGCAGGAGAGGUAAGUGGAAUUCCUAGUGUAGCGGUGAAAUGCGUAGAUAUUAGGAAGAACUCCAGUGGCGAAGGCGGCUUACUGGACUGUAACUGACGCUGAGGCUCGAAAGCGUGGGGAGCAAACAGGAUUAGAUACCCCUGUAGUC